UACGGGGGGAGCAAGCGUUGUUCGGAUUUACUGGGCGUAAAGGGCGCGUAGGCGGGUUUUUAAGUCAGGGGUGAAAUCCUGGAGCUCAACUCCAGAACUGCCUUUGAUACUGAAGAUCUUGAGUCCGGGAGAGGUGAGUGGAACUGCGAGUGUAGAGGUGAAAUUCGUAGAUAUUCGCAAAGAACACCAGUGGCGAAGGCGGCUCACUGGCCCGGUACUGACGCUGAGGCACGGAAAGCGUGGGGAGCAAACAGG
rnacentral:rRNA from 1 species